AGUGUGCAAACCCGAUUGGCCAACUGUAUUUCUGCCCCGCCCAUUCCUGGUUAGCUAGUUGCCCAGAGCCUGAGAAGCGGGAUCCCAAGUUCAAUAAGAACGCCUGGAGGCCAGACCUUGCGAAAUCCGCAAAUGGGGUGCCUGCAGAGAGAAAGGUCAGCCCUGUGGCAAAUACCAAAAAGGAAGCAGCAGCAGUAGUUUCAUCCUCUCUGCAGGCAGACACCACGCAUGAACCAGCAGCUGUAGUCCAAUCCUGAGGAAGCCGAAAGGCUUGCCAACUGGCCACGGCUGCUUCAGUGGCAAGCUGCCACAGGAACCUCAUAAGUUCUUGGGUGAGUUUCUCUCAAUGGCUGUGCCACAAGUGGAGCUCAACAACACUAUAUAAGGCGAACCAAUAUAAGCAUGUCAUUAGUGAAGAAG
rnacentral:lncRNA from 1 species